UAAGCCAAUGAACUAUCUGCCUUGGCAGUUCCGGUGUCCCGUUUCAAGUUUUGAAUUCACAAACGAAGCGCCCAUUCUAGUGCCGUCGUCUUGUAGCGAGUGUAAAGGAAGGAAAAUUCAUAGGCCUAAGAAAAUUUGCCAAGUCACAGUGAAGUAAAAGAAAAAAAAAACAUGGCAUCCAUAGGCCGUUAAUAAUGGAGCUACUGUAAGUAUUGGCGAAGAUGGACACGAAAACUUAAAAUUCAGUAUGCAUUAUCAGAUCACCAGUCCUGAGCUGCAGUAUGUGCUACCUGCCAACAUACCAGUACUUUCUAUGGAGGCAUUAUAAUAAUUUUGAUCAGUUCUUGAAGAUGGUCUUGUGCAAACAAUUGUAUUUUCAAGCCUUGA